AGUGUGUAAAGUGUUGAGAAUUGGUUUGAAAACCUUAGAGCUCAACCACCCCAAAGGCUUGAACAUAAAGAGGUGUACUUUCAGGAUAUGAAUUUUGGUUAUGAGGCAUGACCAUAAGUUUGGUAAUCUCAAAGACUAAGUGGAUCAGUGAGCGCUGGAGUUUAUCUGCGAGGAUGUACAUGUGGAUCGACCUUUUGGGAAUUUAUGUUUUGGGAACUAGAACCCACAUGAUAACUAAGAAAUUAUUUUUGGCUUGUUGAAUGUUUUAAAAUUAUGACACUGUAAUUUACUUUUAAGUAUGUGCAUACUUUCGAACUCUUGCAUCUUUU